rnacentral:rRNA from 1 species
AUGGAUGGAUGGGGACGGGGAGACGACAGUGCGGUGGCGGAGACGUCCAUGGCGAACGCGAGCCGACAGCCGGCCAUCUCCGGCAAGCCCGACCACAGCGAUCGCGGAUCUCUGACCAUGGUUGCUCCAGUGCUGUUGUUGCUCCCUCCUCUUCUCUGCGUCCUCCUCCUAGUUGCUGCUCCCUCCUCUGCUCUGCCUCCUCCUCCUAGCUGCUGCUCCCUCCUCUGCUCUGCCUACGUCCUCCAGGGUGUCGUGCUGGCGACCGGGGUUGGAGCGCUCAGAUCGAAGGUGGCCGAGCGCUGGUACUUGCUCUACAAGAUGGACAAGCAGGGGGCCAACCUCAUGUUCAUCUACUGGUGGGAGGACAAGAUAACUUUUGUGGGGGACCGGACGGUGGUGGAGAUGUACAAGUUCCUCAAGAAGCACGCUGCCAUCCCUUUCAACUCUGUUGCAGCUGCGGCCGGCUGUGCUUCUGCCUCGGCUACAAACUGCCUAGGUGAGCUUUAUCCCUCUGUGGCGCCUCUGGUGGCGUUGGACUUGUGA